rnacentral:lncRNA from 1 species
UUAAAUCAUCCAUUUAAAGAUGUCAAACAACCUCCGUGUUCUAAGGACACAGCAUGUACAACCUCACAUAGAGUUCCUGACCAGACAAGACUUGCUGGAAAUUUCCCAGGAUCUUCCUUCCUUAAGUUUGAAUAGCUCUCUGGUUCCAGUUUGAAGCUGAAAAGGUUAAAUUCUACCUGAAGGAUGAAAACAACCAACAUUCUGUGCCAAGACAGUCAGGAGGGCAACCAUGUUUCCUGGUGGAGCCUCUGGAACCACUCAAGCCAAGAUGACCGGGGGUUUGGCUGGGAGGAGAUGGGGAAACUACAGACCCUACAGAUGGUUUCCUGUACCAUGAGGUUAAGCCUGGGGGCAGGAGAGGCUGUACCUUAGUUCCUUCAUCUGUAAAAUAAAGUAACAUAGUACCU